CCCCUAGAUGUUCUGGGCCGCACGCGCGCUACACUGAACAGUUCAACAAGUCUUAACCUUGGCCGAUAGGUCUGGGCAAUCUUUGAACGCUGUUCGUGAUUGGGAUAGACCUUUGCAAUUAUGGGUCUUCAACGAGGAAUUCCUAGUAAACGCAAGUCAUCAGCUUGCAUUGAUUACGUCCCUGCCCUUUGUACACACCGCCCGUCGCACCUACCGAUUGAAUGGUCCGGUGAAAUCUCGGGACGGCGGCUUGGUCGCUUGCGUCCGACUGCUGAAACUUGAUUAAACCAUAUCAUUUAGAGGAAGGUGAAGUCGUAACA
rnacentral:rRNA from 1 species